GGGGAAUUUUCCGCAAUGGGCGAAAGCCUGACGGAGCAAUACCGCGUGAGGGAUGACGGCCUAUGGGUUGUAAACCUCUUUUCUCAAGGAAGAAGAUCUGACGGUACUUGAGGAAUAAGCAUCGGCUAACUCCGUGCCAGCAGCCGCGGUAAUACGGAGGAUGCAAGCGUUAUCCGGAAUUAUUGGGCGUAAAGGGUCCGCAGGUGGCUUAUCAAGUUAGCUGUUAAAGGCCGGGGCUUAACUCCGGACGAGCAGUUAAAACUGGUAGGCUAGAGUACGGUAGGGGUAGAGGGAAUUCCUAGUGUAGCGGUGAAAUGCGUAGAUAUUAGGAAGAACACCAGUGGCGAAGGCGCUCUACUGGGCCUGUACUGACACUGAGGGACGAAAGCUAGGG
rnacentral:rRNA from 1 species